UGGUAUGGUGGUGCCAGGCUGAGAUGGGGCAAGGUGCCUUUGGAAGAUAGGCCCAGUUUCCAGGCAUAGGCUAGCCCAGUUCUGAGGGCAACCUCUGGCAAUGGGCCAGACAGAAGGCAAGAUGCCAGCCAAGUUGGGUAGGGUCUGGGUUAGGUUCUAAGUCCAGGAGAUGAAACACAUUAAGGAAACUUCCAGGGGCUGGAGAGAUGACUCAGCAGUUAAGAGCACUGGCUGUUCUUCCAGAGGUCCUGAGUUCAAUUCCCAGCAACCACAUGGUGGCUCACGACCAUCUGUAAUGGGAUUCGAUGCCCCUCUUCUGCUGUGUCUGAAGAAAGCUACAAUGUAUCCUAUACAAUAAAUAAAUAAUUCUUUAAAAAAAGAAAAAGAAACUUCCAGGAGCCCGUGGCACACCAACCAGGCAAGUGAUUCCAGGGAAGUUGCAAAAAAGAAAAAGAGAAAACAAAACCAAAGCCCUGUGUUUGGGACCCCAGUGAGUGUAGUCUUUAUUGAAAGAAGGGGCGCUGAGACUAAGCUGUUGUACACCCCUUGUGCUCAUGUGCCAGACAUCAUCAAUCAAUCCCUGUAUCUUUUCCUGAUGAGCCCUUAUAAAUAAGUACCUCAAAACUGUUCAAAACAGAAGCCCCACAGUCACGGCCGAUAGGUCAGAGCUGACAUGUCCUUAUUGGCUUGACCCGGAGCUGGUUUAGGGAGUGGAAGUGGUUACAGAAGAGCCAAGUAGGGAACCCAUCCGAGGCACGGUGGACAGAGUUCACUGGUGAGAUGAACACGCGCAGUCUGUUUGGGCCAGGCCGGGCACAGCUCUGCGGGUGGGGGAGCAGCAGUGUCCCAGUGGGGGAGAGCAGGCUGAUUCACAGACCAAGAGCCAGCACAGGAAGAGAUUGAACUCAGCAGGCGUAACUGCUAAGGCAAGGGCAAAGCCGGCUGUGCAAGACAAUCAGGUCUCCGGCAUGGAAUGUAUCGAAAUGUAUCAGAGGGGGGAUCAGAGAGGAGAUUCAUGGGCAGGAAGGGGAAGGGUUUUGCCACAAAGGCAAGGGGGCAGGGAAGCUCCUGAGGAAGACAAUCUCAGGGUGGAAGAGGGAUAGACCACUGAUCUAGCUCUGGCUCUGUUCCCUAGGAGAGAAGCCCACUUGGUGCACUUGGGGGUGGUUACAAAGGAGUCACAGGUACCCUGUCCAAGUUAGGCAGCCUGCUGGCUUCUGCUUCACUUGGGCUCAGAGUCUAGUGCCCACUUGACGUUUAGGAAUAGCGUAGGGUCUGCAGACAUACUGGCCUCGGCCUCCCGAGUGGCCUAAGCGUCA
rnacentral:lncRNA from 1 species